UACAGGCAUGAGCCACCGCGCCCGGCCAUAGAUUAGUGAAUUUAAAGACACAGCAAUAGAAACUAUCAGAAAUGAAUCAUAGAGACUAAAACAAAUUUUAAAAAUCUUAACAGAGCAUCUGAGAGCUGUGAAAGAACUUCAAGUGGCCCAGUAUAGAUGUAGUUGGAGUCCCUGAGUGCCAAGUGAUAGGGGGAAUGGAUAGAAAAAUAAUGGCCAAAAUAUUUCCAAAUUUGAGACAACUAAAAUCUAUGAAUACAAAAAAAAUGAAGAAACAACACCAAGACACAAUAAACAAAUUGUUCAAGACCAGUGAUAAAGAGAAAAUCUUAAGAGCAGCUCAAGGAAAAAGAAACACUAUCCAUACAGGAAUAAAGAUAUGUAUAACAGAUUUCUCAAUAGGAAUAAUGUAAGUGAGCAGACAAGAGAGAAACAUCCUUAAAGUGCUGAAAGGAAAAACACCUUUAAACUGCUAGACCUAGUAAAAUAGCUCAUUUUUUAAAAAGUGAAAUUGGAAGAACUUAGAGCUAGCAGAUCAUCACUACAAGAAAUGUUAAAAUAUGUCCUUCAAUCAGACAAAUGGUAUCACAUGGUAUUAUGGAUCUACACAAAGGAAUGGUAAGCACCACAAACGAUAACCCUAAGAGUAAAUACCUAACAUUUUUUCCUUUAUAGUUAUAUCUUCUAAAAAGAUAAAUGACUAUUAAAAC
rnacentral:lncRNA from 10 species